rnacentral:lncRNA from 1 species
CAGAAGCGAACCCAGCCAUCGUUUCCAAGUACGCGCAGAGAGAGAGAGCCACAAGAGUUAGAGCGAAACAUCAGCGUAUGGAUCUAGGGGCUCGAGCAAGCAAGAGAGGAGAGAUGCCUGCGUCAAUAGAUCAUGUAUGAGGAAGGUAAAAGAUGACCACACCUAGAUCAUAUAUACUAUAUUUAUUUAACCCAUAAUUCUUGAUGUGGCCUCGUUCUAAUCAAUUAGAUCAUGUCAGAUCACCUAUUUAUGUACAGCCCUACUAAUUUAUUAAAAAUGUGAUAUCUUCUAGGUCAAAUAAUUCGUUUUAAUCUAUUCAAGUUGGGUUAGGUUCAUAUUAAUUUUUGCGUAUGUAGUAAUAAUAUUGCUUUAAUUAUGUCACAUGGUUUAAUUAAUUAAUUACUUGUUUAAUUAAUGUUAAUCAGCUAGAUAAUCUAGUUAAGCUAAUUUAUAGUUCUAACCUACACAUUUUAUAAAUAAUUGUUAAUAAUUAAUACUGACUCAAAUAUUUUAAUUGAAUACUUAUUUAGUUUAAAUGCAAUAUUUGUUAGAUCAUAUCUAUUAGAUUUAUUGUGCCUAAACUAUCGUUUUAUCCAUAAAUUCUUUGUUUUAGCUCCGAUUUUACUGGUUCUCGAAACUACAAUCUCGUAGCGACGCGUAGAUUAUUAACACGUAGUUUAUUCUUAUGUUUGGUGUGAUGUUAAUUUUGCCUAUACAUGUUUGUCUGUAUUGCUACGUUUAGCAGUGAGGACACGAGUCAUCUGAAAAGCAAGUUGGUACCUAGAAUCUCAAGUCCCAGGCAAGUUGUGUCCUUGAUCACUUCCUUUUACCCACUCAUGUUCUAAUUAAUCAUAAUGAUCUGCAUAGGUUAAUUUUGAUGGGACCCAAUAGGUUACCCUAGUUUGAUUAUCUUUAUACCUUGUUUACCACUGAACUUUUUGGGUAGUACUUGCUAGUGCUUUAUGUGGUUUUGGGUAUGAAGAUACAUUAUUCAUGAUCACACUGUUAUUAUCCGUUUAUUAUUACUGUUCAUGAUAAGAUCAUUAUGUUAAUUGGAACAUGGAGCGACCACCCGGGAAAACAGUGCUACCACAAGGGUUUAAUGGGACGCCCUUGGCUGAUUAAUUAGGAAAGCUAGUGGAGGACUACCUUACCCGAAAGGGGCAAGGGCAGUAGGGGAGUGGUCAGUGUAGGGAGGCCCUCGGGAGGAUUUUGCUGCGAUGGCGGUCCUGCAAGGGAUUCCUGCAUUGGAGCUUCCUAUAAACUGUAGCGGGUUUUCUGAAGCUAGUGGAACUUUGUAAAGGCCUCGUAGUGUUACCCUGCCUCGCCUCCUCGGUAGAGGUGUAUGGGAAGUCGCGAUCCCUUGGCAGAUGGGUAACAUGACUUGUGGGUAAAGAUGCGCCACCUCUGCAGAGUGUAAAACUGGUAUACUAGCCGUGCUCACGGUCAUGAGCAGCUCGGACCCUCACAUGAUUAAAUUAUGGAACUUAAAUUCAAUUUGUCAUAUGCAUUGCAUCGCAGGUGAUGUUGUUACUUCUGUUCUACUAUAUAAUUGGGUUGGUAUUUACUUAUACUUAGUAAUUGCUAAUAAAAUUUUGACCAACUUUAAAAGCAAUGCUCAGCUCUAACCAUCCUCUUUGGUAAGCCUUACACUUCACAUGAGCUCCCACCUUUGGCGAGUUCAUACACAUUAUUCCCCACAACUUGUUGAGCGAUGAACGUAUGUGAGCUCACUCUUGCUGUCUCACACCCCCCCACAGGUCAAGAACAGGUACCACAGGAUGAGGCGCAAGGAGGAUGCUGCGAUGAGUUCGUGAGAGAUCUAGGCCGUCGUCUCCCAGUCAACUUUGGGUUGCUGGACCGUUGUCUCCUUAUAAUGUAAUUAUUUAUUUUGUAUAGAACUCCUGUUAUAUAUAAAGAUGUGACAUUCGAUCCUGUGCCACUAUACAUCAUAUGUGUGAGACUUGGUCCCAGCAUACCUGGUGUUUAUGUUCGCGCCCGGGUCUUGGUGCCCCGAAACCCGGGUGUGACAGAAGUGGUAUCAGAGGAAUGUUGACUGUAGGACGAAACCUAGAUAGAACUGGACAACCAUUAUCUACUUACCUUGCUACUCUGAUUCUUCUUAAACUUUUCUUAAUCUUUUCUCAUAUAUUUUCGCUUACUCUAAUUAUUCUUACCUUUUCUUUCUAAAGACAAAUGUGGAUUUCACACUUUGAAAUCCUGCACCUAAAGUGACCUUUAGGAAUAGGAGACCUACUCAUAGGAACAAAAACAAAACUAAUUUUAUUGAUAUCUAUGAACUUGAAUGUUUGUUCUUAUGACACUUGUCUGAUUUGACUCUUUGAUUGAGUGUGAUGGGUUGUGGAGUAAUGUCCACAAUUACAUCUGCAUAUACAUAUGCGUAAAUAUAAAUAAAUAAAAUUUAUAAGAUAACUAAACAACCUAGAAUAUAUCGAGCCUAAUAGAUCCAUCUUAUCUUAAAAGAUUCUCUCUUAUCUUAAUAGAUUCAUCUUAUCUUGAAAGGUUUGUCUUAUCCUAACCACUUUGCUUGUCUCAUUAUAGUGUAACAACCAGGAUCCAAUCCAAAAUAAUGAGAUCUUAUCUAGUCUAAUCUAGUCACACAAAUAUAACUUAGAUCCGAUCUAAUGUGAUAGAUUAAUCUAACCUAACAAAGGCUAACCUUAAGUUGAGUUAAUCGAUGUGGCUACUUAAACAUGUUAGUUAAUACUAGUGAAAUAGAUUAGACACUACUAGCUAUGUUUUAACCUAAAUUGAUGCCUUAUAACAACUUGGCCAUACACAACUACUGAAGAUACAUGAUGGGUUGUCUAAACCAUCCAUUCCAACCUAAACAUCAAACCAGAUCUUGACCUACCUCAUGUGGCUUAUCCUACCCACAUAUAUACCUACAUGACCUUAAAAACCUAGCUGGAGACACCAAGAUCGAAGAUGAUCAACCUCGUCAAGGGAGGAUAAGAGACAACCCCGAUCUAUGGAUGCAUCAAGAUCUACAAUCCAGGAUGGAUUCUUUCUUCUGCCUAGUCUUUCCUUACCAUAACCAAUUCUUAUCUUGCCAAAUAGGUGGCUAAACAUAAAAAGAUACUCGUGCUUUUCCAAUCACCUACUAAUUAGUAUUAAAGACUUAAAAAAACUCUUAAUUUUGAACCAAUUAGAAACUAGAAUCUCAAUUACAAAUCAAUCAUUGUAUAACCUCUUCUUUUACUAAUCUCGAGGACGAGAUUAUUUUUAGGGGGGUAGAAUUUGUAACACUUCAAAAAUCUUAUUUUUGAUAUUUAUAAAAGUUUCUAAAAAAAUCGAGUUAAAACAUCUUUUAAUAAUAGAUUUCUUUCUUUAUAAAGGAUAUCUCUCUAAAAUAAAUAAGUGAUAGAUACUAUAUUUCUUUGGUUAUGCUUUAAUUGGAUCAUACAUUUAAGGAAUUAUUCUCUUUCACUAGUAUUUACGUAUGUACAAAUUAUAUAUAUAUAUAUAUAUAUAUAUAUAUAUAUAUAUAUAUAUAUAUAUAUAUAUAUAUAUAUAUAUAUAUAUGCGUUUA